GACGAACGCUGGCGGCGUGCUUAACGCAUGCAAGUCGAGCGGAAAGGCCACUUCGGUGGUACUCGAGCGGCGAACGGGUGAGUAACACGUGAGUAAUCUGCCCCUGGCUUUGGGAUAGCCACCGGAAACGGUGAUUAAUACCGGAUAUGACCACGUCUCGCAUGGGGUGUGGUGGAAAGUUUUUCGGCCAGGGAUGUGCUCGCGGCCUAUCAGCUUGAUGGUGAGGUAAUGGCUCACCAUGGCUUCGACGGGUAGCCGGCCUGAGAGGGUGACCGGUCACACUGGGACUGAGACACGGCCCAGACUCCUACGGGAGGCAGCAGUGGGGAAUAUUGGACAAUGGGCGGAAGCCUGAUCCAGCAGCGCCGCGUGAGGGAUGACGGCCUUCGGGUUGUAAACCUCUUUCAGUACCGACGAAGCGCAAGUGACGGUAGGUACAGAAGAUGCACCGGCCAACUACGUGCCAGCCGCCGCCGUAAAAC
rnacentral:rRNA from 1 species